rnacentral:tRNA from 1 species
GCGCGAGUGGCGGAACUGGCAGACGCACUAGAUUCAGGUUCUAGCGCCCCUUAAAGGCGUGGAGGUUCGAGUCCUCUCUCGCGCACCA